GUUAUGGCUCAGUGGCAGAGCGUUUGCCUAGCAUGCGUGAGGCACUGGGUUCAGUUCCCAGCACUACA
rnacentral:tRNA from 1 species